AUUGAACGCUGGCGGCAUGCCUUACACAUGCAAGUCGAACGGUAACAGGUCUUCGGAUGCUGACGAGUGGCGAACGGGUGAGUAAUACAUCGGAACGUGCCUAGUAGUGGGGGAUAACUACUCGAAAGAGUGGCUAAUACCGCAUGAGAUCUACGGAUGAAAGCAGGGGAUCGCAAGACCUUGUGCUACUAGAGCGGCCGAUGGCAGAUUAGGUAGUUGGUGGGAUAAAAGCUUACCAAGCCGACGAUCUGUAGAUGGUCUGAGAGGACGAUCAUCAACACAGGGACUGAGAACCGGCCCAGACGCCUACGGGAGGCAGGAGUGGGGAAUUUUGGACAAUGGGCGAGAGCCUGGUCCAACAAUGCCGCGUGCAGGAUGAAGGCCUUCGGGUUGUAAACUGCUUUUGGACGGAACGAAAAGCCCGGGGUUAAUACCCUGGGGUCAUGACGGUACCGUAAGAAUAAGCACCGGCUAACUACGUGCCAGCCGCCGCCGUAA
rnacentral:rRNA from 1 species